rnacentral:lncRNA from 1 species
UUCAGAAUGGUGCCCUGACCGCUUAUUUGGUUGCCUUGUCUGUAUAUUUUCCCUCCACCCUCUCAUUCGCUUGAACCUUUCCAUCCUGGUACGAAGUUUGACCUUCCCACGCGAGCCGGGAUGGCUUGGGGGCACGCAUGGGUGCAAUGCUUAUGUGUUAGAGCAACUCUAAAAGUACCCUAAAAAAUUCUUCCCUAAAACUAUAUAUUGGAGGUUCUCCUAAAAAAAUUUCCCUCAAAAUCAUAUCAAUCCAUAGCAAAUCGCUAAUAAAUUGCUCCAAAUAUUUCAAAACAGACCACGUCAUCGUAUUAGACCAUCAGAAGGGACGCGCGGGCGUGCGGGAAUCAGAAUUGGGGGAGGAACACCAUCGCUAAAAUAUACACGGUGGCAGGCUAUUUUUUAGCGUAAUAAAAAAUUAGGAAAAGUUUAGGUGAUCUGUUGGAGUUUGUUUUUUCUCUUUUUCUCUAAAAAAAGAUAUUAGAGGGAUUGACCAGCACUGGGACUGUGUGGACGCGGACCACCGGUAGGUGGAGCCACGGCUGGACGGCUGGACGACAUGGCCGCGGAUCCGCGGUCGGACGACGCAACGGGGCGGACCGGCAGCUGGACGGCGCAGACUAGCGACGCGAGGUAGCAGCAGGGCGACGCGAGGUAGUAGCGCCGGAGCCGCAGGGCGCCGAGCUGAGCAGCAGCGCGACGCGAGGCAGGCUUGGAUCGGCAGCAGAGUAACGAGAGAAUGAGAGAACGAAAGAGAGCAUCGAGAGAACGAGAGAGAGAGCAGACCAAGAGAAGAUAAGGAUCAGGGAGAAGAUAGGGUAGAAAAAGGUACGAGAGAGAAAAUGAAAAAAAUAAAGAAUAAGAAAAAAAGAAAUGGAAAAUAAGGCCCUGUUUGGGAAGGGCGUGUUAAAAUUUAACAGGGUGUUAAACUUUAACACCCUCAAAUAAAGGUGUUAAACUUUAGUAUCUUGAGGUGUUUGGAUGAUCUGUUAAAAUUUAACACCUUAGGUUGUAA